CCCUUAGAUGUUCUGGGCCGCACGCGCGCUACACUGACGAAGUCAGCGAGCAUGUCCUACGCCGACAGGUGCGGGGAAUCUUGUCAAACUUCGUCGUGAUGGGGAUUGAUUUUUGAAAUUCUUGAUCAUAAACGAGGAAUUCCUAGUAAGCGCAAGUCAGCAGCUUGCGUUGAUUACGUCCCUGCCCUUUGUACACACCGCCCGUCGCUACUACCGAUUGAAUGGUUUAGUGAGAUCUUCGGAUUGGCGCCACUGCAGCUCAGCAAUGGGCUUGAUGGAUGCCGAAAAGUUGAUCAAACUUGAUCAUUUAGAGGAAGUAAAAGUCGUAACA
rnacentral:rRNA from 1 species